rnacentral:rRNA from 1 species
AUUCCCCUAGUAACUGCGAGUGAAGCGGGAAAAGCUCAAAUUUAAAAUCUGGUGGCCUUUGGCCAUCCGAGUUGUAAUUUAGAGAAGCGUCUUCCGCGCUGGACCGUGCACAAGUCUCCUGGAAUGGAGCGUCAUAGAGGGUGAGAAUCCCGUCUUUGGCACGGACGCACCAGGGCUUUUGUGAUGCGCUCUCGAAGAGUCGAGUUGUUUGGGAAUGCAGCUCAAAAUGGGUGGUGAACUCCAUCUAAAGCUAAAUAUUGGCGAGAGACCGAUAGCGAACAAGUACCGUGAGGGAAAGAUGAAAAGCACUUUGGAAAGAGAGUGAAACAGUACGUGAAAUUGUUGAAAGGGAAACGCUUGAAGUCAGUCGCGUCGCCCGAGACUCAGCCUCGCCUCGGCUUGGUGUACUUCUCGGCCGACGGGUCAGCAUCAAUUUUGCCCCUCGGAUAAUGGCGAGGGAAAUGUGACACCUUUACGGGUGUGUUAUAGUCUUUCGUCGCAUGCGAGGGUCGGGAUUGAGGAACUCAGCACGCGCCUUCGGGCGUCGGGGUUCGCCCACGAUACGUGCUUAUGAUGUUGGCGUAAUGGCUUUAAACGACCCGUCUUGAAACACGGACCAAGGAGUCUAACAUGCCCGCGAGUGUUCGGGUGGAAAACCCGUGCGCGCAAUGAAAGUAAAAGUUGGGACCUCUGUCGUGGAGGGCACCAACGCCCGGACCAGACCUUCUGUGACGGAUCUGCGGUAGAGCGUGUAUGUUAGGACCCGAAAGAUGGUGAACUAUGCCUGAAUAGGGUGAAGCCAGAGGAAACUCUGGUGGAGGCUCGUAGCGAUUCUGACGUGCAAAUCGAUCGUCAAAUUUGGGUAUAGGGGCGAAAGAC